rnacentral:lncRNA from 1 species
UGUCUCGACUAUUCUGUAGGAUCUUUUUCAAUUCGGAGAUAAUUUUUUCUGAUCUUGGGGUCUUGAGACUUCUGUUUUUCUUAGGAUCAGGUCUCUUGGACAGAAGACCUUCAGCUUAACUUUUGCAUUAUAAUAUCAAUCUACUCUUUGCCGAUAUACUGUCAUCGAAACUUAAGCUUAUUGUCGGACUUCUGAAAGUAAGUCUAGAUCGACUCUCCGAUAUUCUGAAUUGCUUGGCUCAUUGUAUCGUUCCACCCUUGCUGAUGGUAAUUCAAUCUCAAGUAGGAUCAUCAUUUUUAUUCCAUAUGCUAGAUUGAAUGGUGAUUCUCCCGUUGG